rnacentral:lncRNA from 1 species
UUCGGGGAUUAACUCAGAUUGGUACUUUAUGAAGAGAUCAAAGCUAAUGUUUGGAUAUUUGGUGCAGUGUUAAGAGGAGUGGCAAAAUGGAAAGUGAGGUAUAUAAAGGAAGUUUGGAACAUUGCAUCAGUCACUCCAGUAGGUAAAGGACUCACUACUUCUGAAUGAUGCAUUGACUUAACAGUGGUGGCAGUGGAAGUUCGAGUAGUAGACAGUAGUCACAGUGACGAACCUAUACAAGAGAAUUUCUUAGGAGCUGGUAACAAAUAAUGGCUCACAAGAGGCUGUGUCUCAGACAUGUUUGCCAACAGUAGUCAAGAUUUUAUCAGUUCAAAAAAAAAAAAACAGUAGUAAAGAUUUUUCAUUUAUUUUUUUAUUUAGUUUACGUUUUACUUCUUGGAUAUUUUGCCUAAUGCUUUUGUUACCUUUGCAAGUGAUCUCCACUGGAAAAUAGUUCAUGUUUACAUCAACAAGAUGAUCAAGUAAAUUAUCAUUGAUCUGAUGAAAAAAAAAUUAAAAAAGAGCCAAAUUAUUUGUCAAUUAGUGGGAAUCUUUAGCUUACUUCACAUGGAUGUUGACUUUGUUAAUAUCAAGCACAC